GAUUUCUGGUGUGACUGCAACUUGACCCGCCAGGGUUCGCCUUGUUUGUGUGUGUCGGGUUGUGUCUACCAUCCUUCUAAGUUUCCUUGUGCCACCUUUGAUUAGGUGCUGUGUAGGGUUGACUUAGAUCGUUGACUUUGAACAAAUUAGAGUGUUUCAGGCAGGCUUUUCUUUUGCUUUGAAUACAUGAGCAUGGAAUCAUCAGAUAGGGCUUUUCGGCUUUUGUCUGAUUGGUCAACAGAGCUGAAGUCAUGAUGGAUAGGGAUAGUUGGGGGUGCUAGUAUUCAGCGGCCAGAGGUGAAAUUCUCGGAUUCGCUGAAGACUGACUGAUGCGAAAGCAUU
rnacentral:rRNA from 1 species